rnacentral:lncRNA from 1 species
GAAAAAUAAAGUGAGAGGGCGCCUCUCCCAGCAAGGCGGCGCUCAGUCCACGGCCGGCGGGAGCUUCCUCCAGGCUGCUGCCCUGCUAGUGACGUUGAUUAUUGGAGGGCAUUUUACUUUCUUGGGAGACCUGGGUUUGGGAGCUGACUAUGCCAGGGAGGAAGCGGCUGGGACCAGCAGUUUGGUGGAAAGGUGCUGAGCAUGCGCAGCAACCAUAGCCUCAGGAUCUCCAGCGUUCAGCUCUCAUUUCCUGUGACUUCCGAAUGGGCACUUUGAGACAACCCACCUGGUGUCUUUCAUAACCUGGGUCCUGACGGCCCCUGGCAUUUCUUCAUCUGGGAUUGUGAACCCCCGUGGGCCAUGGCUAUGCCCCAUUCCUUGUGACAUACUCUGUGGAGGUGAGUUCAGAACUCAGUCCCCAACAUAUUUAUGGAGGCAAAUAAAAAACCCCAAAGGGGCAAUGCAGA